CAGUAGCAUAACACAAGGGUCGGUCUAGGCUUUGUUUCGGGAGUUUACCGCCCAAGAACACCUUGGGGAGUAAACUCCUAAAUCUAGUGAUUUAGCCUUCUAAAUCAUGUUAUAAACACAUAUUAAGCUUUCUAACACUACUAGAAAGAGGUACUCNAGUGAUUUAGCCUUUUAAAUCAUGUUAUAAACACAUAUUAAGCUUUCUAACACUACUAGAAAGAGGUACUCACGAUUUGGGAUAAAAACCCGAAGAUCCAUGAGAGAGAAAAUGGCUUUUCUCUAGUUGGAAAUGCGAAUAAUGAAUGAAUUUGGUUCAGAAUUCUAUUUAUAGUCCUGAGAUAUUUUUGUCAGAAAAUAUUUUUAUUCCCAAAAUGAUCUCUAAUAUAAUAGAGUGUUGGAAUAACAGUGUUGCACAAAACCCUAGUGCACCCAUUCUCCAGAUAUUUCCUGAAGUGUGAACCCUGAAUUACUCAAACAUACACGGAAAAAGUCUUAAAAUUAACUGUGACUGCUAUAACUUCUAUUGAAGUGAUAUUGUUUGUACAGAAUGGAAAUUUCGGGUUGUCACAUACUCUGAGACAAGAAGGAUCUGAUCUCGGACAUAGAAAUAGAUGAAAGCUCAAUACCAUUUUGGACAUGAAUUCCAAGAUUAUCUUCUUAUUGUAAUUAUGAAGUAAAUUUCUAGGUGAGGUUAAUACCAAUGUGACUAUAUUGAUCAUGAACUUCAAAAAACAUAGUGAUCUGAACAAAUUAGGACUGGAAAAAAGUGGUUAGACAAAAAGACAUGUAAAAUAAUCCUAUUUAUUCUGAUAGGCAACAGUUCUAGGAUAAGAUAAAAAUUGACUUCAGAACUAUUUUAGUUUCUGGUGUUGCCAUCAAAGAGUGCAAACCUCUUCAAAGAAUUGAGGAUCAGGCAUCAUGAUACCCAUUUUGUUCAGAAAAUCAUUGAAUUUGGUUUCAUCUAAUGUCUUAGUAAAAAC
rnacentral:lncRNA from 1 species